AGUGAACGCUGGCGGCGUGCCUAAUACAUGCAAGUCGAAGGGAGUGGCGCACGGGUGAGUAAUAUAUAGCUAACUUGCCCAUUACUAAGAGACAACAAUUGGAAACGACUGCUAAUACCUUAUAGUACUGGAUCGGGCUAUAUCGUAUCAGCUAGUUGGUAAGGUAACGGCUUACCAAGGCGAGGACGCGUAACUGGUCUGAUAGCAUGAUCCGUAACACUGGAAGUGAGACACGGUCCAGACUUCUACGGGAAGGAGCUGUAGGGAAUAUUGCUCAAAGGUGGGAACCCGGAAUCAGCAACGCCGCGUGGAGGACGACACUUUACAGAGCGUAAACUCCUUUUCUUGGGAAAGCGGUACCCAAAGAAUAAGUAACGGCUAACUCCGUGCCAGCCGCCGCGGUAGUGC
rnacentral:rRNA from 1 species